UACGUAGGGGGCAAGCGUUGUCCGGAAUCAUUGGGCGUAAAGCGCGCGUAGGCGGCCCGAUAAGUCCGCUGUAAAAGUCCAGGGCUCAACCCUGGAAAGCCGGUGGAUACUGUCGGGCUAGAGUCCGGAAGAGGCGAGUGGAAUUCCUGGUGUAGCGGUGAAAUGCGUAGAUAUCGUAAGGAAGACCAGUGGCGAAGGCGGGUCUCUGGACAGUUCCUGACGCUGAGGCACGAAGGUCAGGGGAGCAAACGGG
rnacentral:rRNA from 1 species